rnacentral:lncRNA from 1 species
GGCAGGAAGAGGGGGACUCUGUGGUCAGGGAACUGCUCGCUGAGCACAGCUGCACAGUGCUGUCAGAACGGCCGAUCUCCAGCCCAAGAUGAUUCCAGCAGUGGUCUUGCUCUUACUCCUUUUGGUUGAACAAGCAGAUCCAAGUGCGAAAGGCAGCUAUAACCAGCUAUGAGAAAUCAGAUGGUGUUUACACGGGCCUGAGCACCAGGAACCAGGAGACUUACGAGACUCUGAAGCAUGAGAAACCACCACAGUAGCUUUAGAAUAGAUGCGGUCAUAUUCUUCUUUGGCUUCUGGUUCUUCCAGCCCUCAUGGUUGGCAUCACAUAUGCCUGCAUGCCAUUAACACCAGCUGGCCCUACCCCUAUAAUGAUCCUGUGUCCUAAAUUAAUAUACACCAGUGGUUCCUCCUCCCUGUUAAAGACUAAUGCUCAGAUGCUGUUUACGGAUAUUUAUAUUCUAGUCUCACUCUCUUGUCCCACCCUUCUUCUCUUCCCCAUUCCCAACUCCAGCUAAAAUAUGGGAAGGGAGAACCCCCAAUAAAACUGCCAUGGACUGGACUC